rnacentral:rRNA from 1 species
CCUACGGGUGGCAGCAGUGAGGAAUAUUGGUCAAUGGGCGGGAGCCUGAACCAGCCAAGCCGCGUGAAGGAAGAAGGCGCCACGCUUCGUAAACUUCUUUUGUCGGGGAACAAAGCGCCUCACGCGUAGCGCUUUGAAUGUACCCUAAGAAAAAGCAGCGGCUAAUUCCGUGCCAGCAGCCGCGGUAAUACGGAAGGUUCGGGCGUUAUCCUGAUUUAUUGGGUUUAAAGGGUGCGUAGGCCGUACGGCAAGCUAGCGGUUAAAUGGCCGGGCGCAACCCCGGGCUAGCAGUUGAACUUGGCGGACUAGAGUCCGCGAGAAGCAGGCGGAAUGCGCGGUGUAGCGGUGAAAUGCAUAGAUAUGGCGAAGAACCCCGAUUGCGAAGGCAGCGUGCGGGAGCGGAACUGACGCUGAGGCACGAAAGCGUGGGUAUCGAACAGGAUUAGAUACCCGAGUAGUC